AUGGGAUGCUUGGCUUUUUCUUUGUCUUGGAUAUUCGCUCUGAUGUUUCAGCCUCUUCUGGAGCUUCUAGCUGCUGGCUGUCUGGCCCCCCCUGAUGGUUCUCUGGCCCCUCCUGCUGGUUCUCUGAACUCCCCUCCUGGUUCUCUGCCCAUGCCUGUUGCCUCCUUGGCCUUUCCUGGUGGCCAUCAGCAGAUCCAGUGGGCUCUUGGCUUACUUGUUGGCCAUUGGCCCACCCGGGCAACUCCUGACCGUGGUUGUAAUCGUGGCUGUGUUGGGUGGUUAGACACCGGGUGUUGAUUUGAGCAUCAGCCUCCAGAUUCAUCUGCUCCAGGUAGUUUUCCUUCAUCCUCUCCCUCUCCUCCUUCAGUUGUUGAUGAGUCUGUUUUUUAAGCAGGGACCGCUCUCUCCACUGCUUAUUGAAAUCCUCCAUCUUCUUCCUUCUCUCCUCAGCCUUCAGCAGCUCCUUCCUCUUCUCCCUCUCUCUCUCUGCCCGGGUCAUGGUGGAUGUUAGCCUUGUGUGUCCAGGGAUGGCUGGGAGGGGAGAAGAAGUAGAGUUCACAUUCAACUUAGUGGAUCUGGUAUCAACUUAAAUGUAAUGGACACAGGGAAUGAAGAAUAGAAAACACAAUUGGAUCUCACUGAUUAUUUACUCUUUUCAGUUGAGCAAGGCAUGGAAUUUGUGAAUUAAGUGCAAUAAUCCCCAUCCCAAAUUGACCUGGCCCUAAGUUGAACAUGUGUCCAGAAUGGCACCUAUUCUUUGUAUAGUGCCAGGGCUUAUGUGAUCGCUUAGGGCCCCAUGGCCACUAGUAGCCCCCGGAUCCCCCCAAAACACGUUUUUGUGUGUGUGUUUUUAGGAACUCUUUCUGGGUCUCUACUUAGUCUUGAGAGUUAGACUAGUAGAUGACACAAGGUACCAUUUAAAAACGUGGUUGUUAUCAGCAGUAUUUUUCUUGUUAUGUCAGUCAGUCACUCAAUGAGCCAUGUCAGCUAACAUAUUCUUUGGACAGUAGUUUUAUAUUGAAACAAUGAUGCGACAUGAUGACUGGUGUGGAACUUAUGUGUGUAGAGGAGACUAAAGAGGAUGAUGUCAUAAGUAGAGGGAAAACAGGUCUUACCUAUGUGGACGAUCUUAUGGCCCUCCUCAGCCUCUCUCUGAUACGUUCUCUCUAUCUUUCUGAGGUUCCUCUUCUCCCAUUUUUUAUUCACCCAGCCCACGGCUCUCCUUCGGA
rnacentral:lncRNA from 1 species